GACGAACGCUGGCGGCGUGCUUAACACAUGCAAGUCGAACGGAAAGGCCCUGCUUUUGUGGGGUGCUCGAGUGGCGAACGGGUGAGUAACACGUGAGUAACCUGCCCUUGACUUUGGGAUAACUUCAGGAAACUGGGGCUAAUACCGGAUAGGAGCUCCUGCUGCAUGGGGGGGGUUGGAAAGUUUCGGCGGUUGGGGAUGGACUCGCGGCUUAUCAGCUUGUUGGUGGGGUAGUGGCUUACCAAGGCUUUGACGGGUAGCCGGCCUGAGAGGGUGACCGGCCACAUUGGGACUGAGAGACGGACCAGACGCCUACGGGAGGCAGCAGUGGGGAAUAUUGCACAAUGGGCGGAAGCCUGAUGCAGCAACGCCGCGUGCGGGAUGACGGCCUUCGGGUUGUAAACCGCUUUCGCCUGUGACGAAGCGUGAGUGACGGUAAUGGGUAAAGAAGCACCGGCUAACUACGUG
rnacentral:rRNA from 1 species